rnacentral:lncRNA from 1 species
CUUAAUUCUCAAUUCAUAAAGCAUUCUGUUAAUCAAAGAAGUCAUUCACGAUUAAACCAAAAUUUACAAAACCAUUCAAAACAGAAAUUUAAAUGCAGAAAGUAAAGUGAAAACACAAGGAUUUUUCGGCCGAAGCCCCAGAGGUUCAGCUUAAAGCCUAAUCCCCUGUUGAGCAUCCAUUAUAAAACGGAUCUAGCUCGGUUGCACUAAAAACUCAAAAAUAUGGAAGUCAAAAUACAGAAAUACAGAUCACAAGAUAGUCACAGAGACUUAUCUUUCUACACGAAGGUGCUAGGACUAUUCUUUUCACAGGAAUCACUCAGAUCACUCAGAUCUGUUACAAGCCACUACCGAACUCAAGAAUCACUCAGAUUCUUGAUACUAAUCACUCAGAAAAGUUAAGCAUUCAUACAAUCAGUAGUAUUACAGUGAGAUUACUGUAUUUCCUCACUAUUAUCUCUCAAGGAAUCACAUCACAGAGGAGAAAACUCGAAGAGUUUUCAAGAAGGAUCGUAUAAACUCAAAAACGGCAGAGAGAAAACCCUUGAAAGAAAAUGACGAUUCAGCUGAGUAAAAAAUGAGUCCAAACAGAGUAAAUAAUAUCAGAAGCAUCCAGAAGCCUGAUCCAACGGCCACCAUCAUCACACGUGUCAUGAUCCAGUAUAAUGUUGUUAUUUAAAAGGGGAAGAAGUGUCAAACUCAUUGAACACGUUUUUGCCUUUAAAAGAACUGUGGAAGCAAUAUGACCAAAAGGUCCAGGGUUCGAACCCAACAAUCUCCACCUUGCUUCCAACAGUUUUGAGUAUAGUGCAGCCAGGAGCUUUAACCAACAUUUUACAAUUUCAUUUGCUCUAGUUCCUGCAAAGUUAGUGAAAAGAAUCAAUAGACAAUAUCUUUAAACAGUUCUGAAACUUAUUUAAAGGUAUUACUUUUGUUCCCAUAUCAGAUGGAUUAUGUAAAGUAGCAACUUUUGCAAUAUU